GAUGAACGCUGGCGGCGUGCCUAAUACAUGCAAGUCGAGCGAACGGACGAGAAGCUUGCUUCUCUGAUGUUAGCGGCGGACGGGUGAGUAACACGUGGAUAACCUACCUAUAAGACUGGGAUAAAUUCGGGAAACCGGAGCUAAUACCGGAUAAUAUUUUGAACCGCAUGGUUCAAAAGUGAAAGACGGUCUUGCUGUCACUUAUAGAUGGAUCCGCGCUGCAUUAGCUAGUUGGUAAGGUAACGGCUUACCAAGGCAACGAUGCAUAGCCGACCUGAGAGGGUGAUCGGCCACACUGGAACUGAGACACGGUCCAGACUCCUACGGGAGGCAGCAGUAGGGAAUCUUCCGCAAUGGGCGAAAGCCUGACGGAGCAACGCCGCGUGAGUGAUGAAGGUCUUCGGAUCUUAAAACUCUGUUAUUAGGGAAGAACAUAUGUGUAAGUAACUGUGCACAUCUUGACGGUACCUAAUCAGAAAGCCACGGCUAACUACGUG
rnacentral:rRNA from 1 species